GGCCCCAUCGUCCAGCGGUUAGGACACCAGGUUCUCAUCCUGGGAACUGCGGUUCGAUUCCGCAUGGGGUCACCC
rnacentral:tRNA from 1 species